rnacentral:rRNA from 1 species
UACGAAGGGGGCUAGCGUUGUUCGGAAUGACUGGGCGUAAAGGGCGCGUAGGCGGCUUUUCAAGUCGGGUGUGAAAGCCCGGGGCUCAACCCCGGAACGGCAUCCGAUACUGGGAGGCUUGAGACCGGGAGAGGAGGGUGGAAUAUCCAGUGUAGAGGUGAAAUUCGUAGAUAUGCGGAGGAACACCGAUGGCGAAGGCAAUCCCCUGGGCCUGCACUGACGCUCAUGCACGAAAGCGUGGGGAGCAAACAGG